GACGAACGCUGGCGGCGUGCUUAACACAUGCAAGUCGAACGGAAAGCCCCUGCUUUUGUGGGGUGCUCGAGUGGCGAACGGGUGAGUAACACGUGAGUAACCUGCCCUUGACUUUGGGAUAACUUCAGGAAACUGGGGCUAAUACCGGAUAGGAGCUCCUGCUGCAUGGUGGGGGUUGGAAAGUUUCGGCGGUUGGGGAUGGACUCGCGGCUUAUCAGCUUGUUGGUGGGGUAGUGGCUUACCAAGGCUUUGACGGGUAGCCGGCCUGAGAGGGUGACCGGCCACAUUGGGACUGAGAUACGGCCCAGACUCCUACGGGAGGCAGCAGUGGGGAAUAUUGCACAAUGGGCGGAAGCCUGAUGCAGCAACGCCGCGUGCGGGAUGACGGCCUUCGGGUUGUAAACCGCUUUCGCCUGUGACGAAGCGUGAGUGACGGUAAUGGGUAAAGAAGCACCGGCUAACUACGU
rnacentral:rRNA from 1 species